rnacentral:rRNA from 1 species
UACAGAGGGUGCAAGCGUUGUUCGGAAUUAUUGGGCGUAAAGCGCGUGUAGGCGGCUUGGCAAGUCGGGUGUGAAAUCCCUCAGCUUAACUGAGGAAGUGCGCCCGAAACUGCCGAGCUUGAGUACCGGAGAGGGUGGCGGAAUUCCCAGUGUAGAGGUGAAAUUCGUAGAUAUUGGGAAGAACACCGGUGGCGAAGGCGGCUCUCUGGACCGAGACUGACGCUGAGGCGCGAAAGCGUGGGGAGCAAACAGG